UACGAAGGGGGCUAGCGUUGCUCGGAAUUACUGGGCGUAAAGGGCGCGUAGGCGGCUCGGCACGUCCGUUGUGAAAUCGCCCGGCUCAACUGGGCGGGGUCAGCGGAUACGGUCGAGCUUGAGCAAGCUAGGGGGCAAUGGAAUUCCCGGUGUAGUGGUGGAAUGCGUAGAUAUCGGGAGGAACACCAGUGGCGAAGGCGGUUGCCUGGAGCUUUGCUGACGCUGAGGCGCGAAAGCGUGGGGAGCGAUCCGG
rnacentral:rRNA from 1 species